rnacentral:rRNA from 1 species
AUGUGGGAAGAAUGCUUGCCUCAUAUUGAGUUUGCUUAUAAUCGUUCAUUGCAUUCUACUACUAAGAUGUGCCCUUUUGAAAUUGUGUAUGGUUUCCUACCUCGUGCACCUAUUGAUUUGUUGCCUCUUCCAUCUUCGGAGAAGGUUAAUUUUGAUGCUAAACAACGUGCUGAAUUGAUCUUAAAAAUGCAUGAGUUAACUAAGGAAAACAUUGAACGUAUGAAUGCUAAAUAUAAACUUGCUGGAGAUAAGGGUAGAAAACAUGUUGUGUUUGCACCUGGAGAUCUUGUUUGGUUACAUUUGCGUAAGGAUAGAUUUCCUGAUUUGCGCAAAUCAAAGCUAAUGCCACGUGCUGAUGGUCCUUUUAAGGUGUUAGAGAAAAUAAAUGAUAAUGCAUAUAAACUUGAGCUGCCUGCAGAUUUUGGGGUUAGUCCCACUUUUAAUAUUGCAGAUUUGAAGCCUUAUUUGGGUGAGGAAGAUGAGCUUCCGUCGAGGACGACUUCAUUUCAAGAAGGGGAGGAUGAUGAGGACAUCAAUACCAUUGUUACACCCACAGGCCCUGCUGCUAUACAUACUGGACCAAUUACUAGAGCUCGCGCACGCCAAUUAAAUUACCAGGAAACAGACCCUCGUGGUCAGGUUGAUCGUGCUCCGGCGUGGUCGAUAACCUCUCGGAGUUGGUUUAGCGAUUGCUAA